UUGCACGCUGGCGGCAUGCCUUACACCUGCCAGUCGAACGGUAACAGGUUAAGCUGCCGAGUGGCGAACGGGUGAGUAAUACAUCGGAACGUGCCCAGUAGUGGGGGAUAGCCCGGCGAAAGCCGGAUUAAUACCGCAUACGACCUAAGGGUGAAAGGGGGGGAUCGCAAGACCUCUCGCUAUUGGAGCGGCCGAUGUCAGAUUAGCUAGUUGGUGGGGUAAAAGCUCACCAAGGCGACGAUCUGUAGCUGGUCUGAGAGGACGACCAGCCACACUGGGACUGAGACACGGCCCAGACUCCUACGGGAGGCAGCAGUGGGGAAUUUUGGACAAUGGGCGCAAGCCUGAUCCAGCCAUGCCGCGCGCGGGAAGAAGGCCUUCGGGUUGUAAACCGCUUUUGUCAGGGAAGAAAUCCUUUGGGUUAAUACCUCGGGGGGAUGACGGUACCUGAAGAAUAAGCACCGGCUAACUACGUG
rnacentral:rRNA from 1 species